GAGGCUGGCGCGUGCAGAUCAUUAGCAUCUAACACCUACCAGCUGUGUCAUCAAGACAAGGACAUUCAAGAUACCCAAUAUCUUAUAUUUUGCCUGCAUGACCAGAUACGUGCACCACAUGUGUGCCCGGUGCGCUGGAUCCUAAGAACUGGAGUUAUGGACUUUGUGAGCUGCCAGGCAUUUAUCUCACCGACUUCAGCCGUCUCCCAGAAUAUCACAUUAUCUCAAAGGACAGCAUAAAAUUAUCAGCAGCAACGCGCAUCUGUGCCUAGGAAGGCAGCGCCCUGAGGGUGCCUGCUGCAGGGCCAGAGGCCCUGGGAGACCCUUUUGCUUCAAUUGCUCAAGUGACCUGCCUCUUCUUAAGUGACCUACUUCCUUUUACAGACUCCUGAGUUAGACAGUUCAAUCCUGCCUCAGCCUCACAUUACUGGGAUUACAGAGGCUGAGCCGAGAACCACUGCUAAGACAGAGCACACACCAUCACCAGGGCUUGGCCUCGAGGCAGUCACAGGAACCAACUGAAGCUGGCAACACCGGACUUUAGAUACAAUCUCACAGGGGAGGAAGACUGAAUGACCCCAUCUCUGCCCACGGGCCCAGCCACAUCUCCAGGCCACACUGCGCCAGCAGAACAAGCACGCGUCUGUCAGUCAGUGUGAGCUCAUACCGUGCCUGCUCACACACGCUGCUCCUCCCCAGCAAUGACGCUCUCCUCUCAGGCUCUUGCUGGUCAGGCUGGGGUUGGCGGAGCUGAUUCUCCACUGUCCUUGCUCCCUGGAGCUCAAUGGCCAAAGCGAGCAUGUUACUGUCAGCUAACAGGGCCGAUGUGCUGAGGGACCAGAUGUUCACAUUCUCCUCCUGGGACAUGUCUGGGAAGCUUGAACCGUCCACCAACAGGGAGGUGCCCCAGGGCUUGAACUCAAGACCUGCUGGCACUGGCAUCCUGCACACUCCCUGCCACACGGGAGGCCGAAGCCCCAAGAAGGGAAAAGAUGCUCCAGUGUUUUCCGGAUCAUGGUGCCCAGGACCAGAAAGGGCCGUCACCGUUUCUCUCACUCCCAGGGAAGGCAUGGUGGGCAUGGGACGACCACCCAUAUCUUUCUUCUCAGUCGCUGCUCUAAAAUGUGACCCUUGGGCUGGAUCUGAGUAGCCUGUGGG
rnacentral:lncRNA from 1 species